AUUCAAGUCCUGGCUUGAGAGCCGAGCGGCAAGAGCGCGGGCCGGGGAAGGGAAGAGUAGGAGAGGAAGCCGCGAGGGAGAACAGCAGUGACGCGCCGCCUGGGAGCUGGAGCCCGCGCAGCGCCCCGCAGGGCGAUGGACGGCCGAACCCCGCGCCCGCAGGACGCCCCAGCCAGGAGAAAACCAAAAGCCAAGGCACCACUUCCUCCAGCUGAGACCAAAUAUACUGAUGUCUCUUCAGCUGCUGAUUCUGUAGAAUCCACUGCUUUCAUCAUGGAACAGAAAGAAAACAUGAUAGAUAAAGACGUUGAACUCUCAGUGGUCCUACCUGGGGAUAUUAUCAAAUCUACUACUGUUCAUGGCAGAGUCCCUGUGAAGCAGGAAGAGUGAGGGCAGGUUCACUGCAGCUCAGCAGCAUGUCUGCAGGGAAUUCAUCUUUGAGAAGGACAAAGCGAAAAGCACCUUCCCCACCCUCCAAAAUACCCCCGCAUCAAAGUGAUGAAAAUAGUCGUGUGACUG
rnacentral:lncRNA from 1 species